AGGUCCCAAGCGUUGUUCGGAUUUACUGGGCGUAAAGGGUGCGUAGGCGGUUAGAAAAGUUUGGUGUGAAAUCUUCGGGCUCAACCCGGAAACUGCACUGAAAACUAUUUAACUAGAGGAUCGGAGAGGAGAUUGGAAUUCUCAGUGUAGCAGUGAAAUGCGUAGAUAUUGAGAGGAACACCAGUUGCGAAGGCGGAUCUCUGGACGAUUCCUGACGCUGAGGCACGAAAGCUGGGGGAGCGAAGAGG
rnacentral:rRNA from 1 species